rnacentral:misc_RNA from 1 species
UCCGAGUUGUCCCCGGCAGUCCUUUUAGAGUCCCCGGCAUUACCCGCUGGCAACUAAAAGCAGGGGUUGCGCUCGUUGCGGCACUUAAGCCAACACCUCACGGCACGAGCUGACGACAGCCAUGCAGCACCUGUGCUAGCCCCUUACGGACACGGGCUUUCACCCGCUUUAACUAGCAUGUCAAGCCCAGGUAAGGUGGGGAUGACGUUAGUGACCUUUGC